rnacentral:rRNA from 1 species
CCUACGGGUGGCUGCAGUGGGGAAUAUUGGACAAUGGGGGGAACCCUGAUCCAGCCAUGCCGCGUGUGUGAAGAAGGCCCUCGGGUUGUAAAGCACUUUCAGUGAGGAAGAACGCCUGGUGGUUAAUACCCAUCAGGAAAGACAUCACUCACAGAAGAAGCACCGGCUAACUCCGUGCCAGCAGCCGCGGUAAUACGGAGGGUGCGAGCGUUAAUCGGAAUUACUGGGCGUAAAGCGCGCGUAGGUGGCUUGAUAAGCCGGUUGUGAAAGCCCCGGGCUCAACCUGGAACGGCAUCCGGAACUGUCAAGCUAGAGUGCAGGAGAGGAAGGUAGAAUUCCCGGUGUAGCGGUGAAAUGCGUAGAGAUCGGGAGGAAUACCAGUGGCGAAGGCGGCCUUCUGGACUGACACUGACACUGAGGUGCGAAAGCGUGGGUAGCAAACAGGAUUAGAUACCCUUGUAGUC